GGAACCCUCAGAGAGAGACCGUUCUUCAGUUUACCUCAGCUGAACUCAACUCUCCGCCUGUGUCGCGUCUCGUCCAACACUGCACUGUCGUGACUUGAUCAUUCAAUGGUUCAGCCAUUCCUUGAUCGACCUGACACCAACAUUAGGCCUACUCGAUGUGUAUGAAGCAAGCUGCCUCUGCAUCAAGUGAGAGAAGAAGCCGCCACUGAAAAGCUUUUUGGACUGUCAUUUGAAGGACACAAAUGAAAGGGCAGGAAUUCUGCUCUGCGGCGUUGGCCUCACUAUUUAUUCAAGAAGCCCUCGGACACCACCAGAAUGUAUGAAAAUAAUAAACAGUAGGCACAGUCAUUCCUUGAUCGACCUGGCAUCAACAUCGCUCGAUGUGUAUGAAGCUGCAAGUGAGAGAAGAAGCCGCCACUGAACACCUUUUUGGACUGUCAUGACUCAAAUGAAAGGACAAGACUUCUACUCUGCUGGGUCGGCCUCACUACAUAUUCAAGAAGCCCUCGGACGUCAUCAGAAUGUAUUAAUGUGAAGAGGCAACAAGGGAGAGAUGAACGCUAUCAAAAAUGUGGAGAUGGAUCUGGCAGCCGACCGCUUUGGCACACACCCAACAAGAAACAAAACAAUAAAGAAUACUAAAAUGCAUAA